GACGAACGCUGGCGGCGUGCUUAACACAUGCAAGUCGAACGGAAAGGCCCUGCUUGCAGGGUACUCGAGUGGCGAACGGGUGAGUAACACGUGGGUGAUCUGCCCUGCACUUCGGGAUAAGCCUGGGCAACUGGGUCUAAUACCGGAUAGGAGCCAUUUUUAGUGUGAUGGUUGGAAAGUUUUUUCGGUGUAGGAUGAGCUCGCGGCCUAUCAGCUUGUUGGUGGGGUAAUGGCCUACCAAGGCGGCGACGGGUAGCCGGCCUGCGAGGGUGGACGGCCACAUUGGGACUGAGAUACGGCCCAGACACCUACGGGAGGCAGCAGUGGGGAAGACUGCACAAUGGGCGCAAGCCUGAUGCAGAGACGCCGCGUGGGGGAUGACGGCCUUCGGGUUGUAGACUCCUUUCGCUAGGGACGAAGCUUUUUGUGACGGUACCUAGAUAAGAAGCACCGGCUAACUACGUG
rnacentral:rRNA from 1 species